rnacentral:tRNA from 2 species
GCGGGCGUGGCGGAAUGGCAGACGCACCAGCCUUAGGAGCUGGCGGGUAACCGUGCAGGUUCAAGUCCUGUCGCCCGCA